GACGAACGCUGGCGGCGUGCUUAACACAUGCAAGUCGAACGGUGAAAGCGGAGCUUGCUCCGCUGGAUCAGUGGCGAACGGGUGAGUAACACGUGGGCAACCUGCCCUCCACUUCGGGAUAACUCCGGGAAACCGGGGCUAAUACCGGAUAUGACCUCUUCGGGCAUCCGCGGAGGGGGAAAGUUUUUCGGUGAAGGAUGGGGCCGCGGCCUAUCAGCUUGUUGGGGCGGUAGUGGCUCACCAAGGCGACGACGGGUAGCCGGCCUGAGAGGGCGACCGGCCACACUAGGACUGAGACACGGCCGAGACUCCUACGGGAGGCAGGAGUGGGGAAUAUUGCGCAAUGGGCGAAAGCCUGACGCAGCGACGCCGCGUGCGGGAUGACGGCCUUCGGGUUGUAAACCGCUUUCAGCAGGGAAGAAGCCGCAAGGUGACGGUACCUGCAGAAGAAGCACCGGCUAACUACGUGCCAGCCGCCGCAGUAA
rnacentral:rRNA from 1 species